AAUCUCAAAAAGUUUGUGAUUUGUGAUGUUAACUUAUGUUGGAGGUAAUAAGCUAAAUUAUUAUUAAUUUUUUAAUUUCAUUUGUGUUUUGGACCCGUAUUUUCAUCUUGAAGAAAUGGAGUACGCUCCUGCAGUAAGUGAACACCCAUACACUUUGAAUUAGAUUUUGGUUGACAAUGUGUGUUGUUAAUUGUUUGAGGUUUUUAAUGAUUCUUACCUUCAUUUUAAGUUGGUCAUGUCCAUUCAUGUGGCAGCUGAAGCCCUCCCACCACAACCCACGGAACCACUCCCACCCCAACCACCGCAAGCCCUCCAACCCCAACCGGCUCCUCAUCCUCCAAGGCAACAGAGGCGUGCUAGGCAACCAAGUUUCCGUACCCGAGUCCUCCUUUUUGGGAUGCCUGAUGAUGUAGUGUUGCGCAGACACAGACUGCCACCUCAUCUAAUCCUAGACACUCUCUCCAUAAUAGAGAGUGAUCUAGAACAAUCCAUUAGGUAUCCUACAACAAUACCAGCAUUGACACAAUUCCUUGCUGUGUUACAUUUUGUGGCCACUGGUUCGUAUCAGGAUGUGGUCGGAGAUCUGGUUGGCAUGUCGCAGGGCCAGUUCAGUAAGGUCCUGCGGCGUGUCAGCCAUGCUUUCAUAAAGUGAGUCAAACAAUUUAUAGCAAUGCCUUUGGAUGUUGGUGCCCUGGAUGUGGUGAAGCAGCAAUUUCAGGAAGGUGGUAGUCGCUUCCCACAUGUUAUUGGGGUUGUGGAUGGAACACAUGUAGCUAUUGUUGCACCAAGACAUAAUGAAGAAAUUUAUAGAAACAGGAAACUGUUUCAUUCUCUGAAUGUAAUGGUUGUUUGUGGGCCAUCCCUCCAGAUCCUGUCCCUGAAUGCUAAGUUCCCUGGGAACUCCCAUGAUGUACAUGUCAUUAGACAAUCAGGGAUAUGGCAGAGAUUAAGAACGAUGGAAGGCCAAGACAUGUGGUUAUUGGGAGACCGUGGAUAUCCUUGCACCCCCUGGCUCAUGACUCCUUAGAGUAAGCCCACGCCAGGACCACAGACGGCAUUUAACUCCGCGCUUACUGCCACUAGACAGCUGGUGGAGCGCACGAUUGGUGUUCUUAAAGGGCGUUUUUGUGUGCUCCACCGCACUGGUGGCGACAUCAUGUAUUCGCCGGAGAUGGUAAGUAAAAUUGUGGUCCUGUGCGCUAUCCUACAUAACAUCGCUGUAAGGAGUCGCGUAGAGCUUCCCCAAACGGAGGAAUUGCCGGAUGAGGAGCCAGGGGUUGGCCGGACAUUCGGUGGGGGGAGUGUAUCCCGGCGGGGGAAUGAAGUAAGGGCAAGAAUUGUCCGUGAUUAUUUCAGAUAUUUUGUUUUUUCAUUAUUUAUUUUCGUUUGCCAAAAGUCUCUGUAUUUGUAUUGUAAUUUUGAACUGAUGUCAUUUAGGUAGCUUGGUAAAGUUCAUAGUGUGUUGGUUUUCUUUUGUGAGUCUAUAUUAUUCUUUGUUUAAUAAAUAAAUCUGUAAUGUUCUCCGUAUCAUGUAUUUUGUUAGAAUAUUGUUGUUGACAAUGUUUUUUGUUUGGUAAUUUAUAAUUAAUUAUAUUUUGGUUAAUUGUGUUAAUAACCAUAUUUUUUUGUUUAUUUGGCUUGUGCAUCUGUUUACAUUACAAAUGACACAACAUAUGAUCCUAAAUGUCGAUAACUUUGGGACUUUGUGCAGCUGAUUGUUAAUGUAAAAUGUGGUGAGUACACAGAUUGUAACAAUUACUUUUCAAUAGGUGUGUGUGUAUGUGAGUGUGUGUGUGUGUGUGUGUGUGUGUGUGAUUGUGAGUGUGUGUUUCUGUGUGUGUAUGUGAGUGUGAUUGUGAGUGAGUGUGAUUUUGAGUGAGUGUGUGUGUGUGUGUGUAUGUGAGUGUGAUUGUGAGUGAGUGUGAUUUUGAGUGAGUGUUUGUGUGUGUGUGUGAGUGUAUGUGAGUGUGAUUGUGAGUGUGAUUGUGAGUGUGUUUUUUUUUAAUUUCUUCCGCGGGUGCGAAUUUCCGCUAAUGCGAAUUGUACCCACUGUAUUUCACAUUAAUGCACACAUAUCAAUAAAGUUUAUUACAGAUGACACCAUCAAUUUACAACCAAUCAAAUGGCACAACACACUAUAAAUAUAUGCCCAUGUAUGGAAAACGCCAUUGGCACCAUGCGCGCAGCUGCUUUCACACAACAGGAGAUGCGCGUGCUGGUCGCAGUAAUGGACCGCCGCGUAGGCCGUGCAGGGCCCUUUAUCCCAAAUAGGGUAAAGCGCGAGACCUACGCAGAGGUCCGCCGCUUACUGUGAACACGUACCCGGAGCAGGAGGACCAUCAUACAGUUGGAGAGGCGCUGGAGCGACCUCCGCCGACGCACGCCGGACCUGUUGGCGGAAUUGCGCCAACAAAUCCGGGCAAUACGUAUACGCAGUAAAUUUAACAUAUUACAUUAAAUAUGUGUAUUACACUGAGAAUAUUAACAUACACUUUAAAUGUAAAGUCUGCACAUUUUCACUAAGAAGUUAUAUAGUGAGAAAAUUAGCAGACUGUUAAACUAUUGUAGAGCAAACAUGCCAAGUUUACACAGUGUGUGUGGUUAUGGGAAGCAGUACUGACUGUAGCAAAGUGCUUUGUAAGUAGUUAAUGUUGUUGUACUGAGUUGCUACACAGGCUGUCGCCUGAACCCAAUAACUUGUUCUGUGUCUUUAACAUGGGACAGAACAAUGUAAUUUUAAAAUGCUGAUGUAAUUUUUUUUAAACCCACUACAUAAUUAUUACAUAUCUCAUUCUAGGGCAAGCACAACGUCGAGCAGCAUCUGCAAGGCAGAGACUUACACGCCCAGGCCCAGCACAUUCUCCGCACCCCACCCCUUCUGUGGACCAUUCCCUCUCUCCGUCCCCCUCCCCCUUUCUUUCCCAAGCCCCCUCUCUGGCCCACUCCCCCUCUCUUUCCCAAUCCCCUUCUCUGCCCCACUCCCCUUCUGUGGCCCAAUCCCCCUCUCUGCCCCCUCCCCCUCUCUUUCCCAAUCCCCUUCUCCGUCUCCCUCCCCCUCUCUUUCCCAAGCCCCCUCUCUGGCCCACUCCCCCUCUCCGGCCCACUCCCCCUCUUUCCCAAUCCCCUUCUCCGCCCCACUCCCCUUCUGUGGCCCAAUCCCCCUCUCCGCCCCACUCCCCUUCUGUGGCCCAAUCCCCCUCUCCGCCCCCUUCCCCUCUCUUUCCCAAUCCCCUUCUCCGCCCCCCUCCCCCUCUCUUUCCCAAACCCCCUCUCUGCCCCCCUCACCCUAUGUGGCCCAAACCACCUAUCCGCCACCCUCCCCCUCUUUCCCAAUCCGCUUCUCUGCCUCACUUCCCUUCUGUGGCCCAAUCCCCCUCUCCGCCCCCCUCCCCCUCUCUUUCCCAAACCCCCUCUCUGCCCCCCUCACCCUCUGUGGCCCAAACCACCUCUCCGCCACCCUCCCCCUCUUUUUCCUGAUCCUCUUCUCUGCCCCCCUCCCACUCUGUGGCCCAAACCAUCUCUCCGCCACCCUCCCCCUCUCAAUCUGACCCAUCCUCUGUAACCAGCUCCCCCUUCCAUCCUCUUUCCCCAAUCCAGCCUCCUGCCCCCAUCCAGCCUCCUUCCCCCAUCCAACCUCCUUCCCCCAUCCAGCCGCCAUCCCCACCUUCUGAAUGGGCAGCAGAGGCCCCGGAGGCCCUUCAGGGAGGUGCUCAAGUGGCAGACGAGAAUGGCGCAGUUGGAGAUCCCACAAGUCUUCCUGGGAUCUGGGCAAGCCUAAAGGCAAAUUUGCGGGCUGUGCUUCGGGACGUGGAGCGCAUGGAGCAGUUUUUUUAAAAUGUUUAAUAAUUUUUUUUUUUUUUUACAAAAAAAAUACAAAAACAUUACUGUUUAAAAAUAAAAAAUGUUGUUUGCAUUUAA